UCCCUCGAUGUUCUUAAAUGGAGUUUAUGUCCCUCGAUGUCCCUAAAUUGAGUUUAUGUCCCUCGAUGUCCCUAAAUUGAUUUUAUGUCCAUUGAUGUCCCGAAAACUGAUGGUCUGAAUGCAAUUUCAAUGUGAAUGCUUCAUAACUUAAAAUGUAAGUGGAGAAUUCUUAAGACAAGCAUUGCGACGCUGUAUUUGGAUG
rnacentral:lncRNA from 1 species